rnacentral:rRNA from 1 species
GAUCCUGGCUCAGGAUGAACGCUAGCGACAGGCUUAACACAUGCAAGUCGAGGGGCAGCAUGAUUUGUAGCAAUACAGAUUGAUGGCGACCGGCGCACGGGUGAGUAACGCGUAUGCAACUUACCUAUCAGAGGGGGAUAGCCCGGCGAAAGUCGGAUUAAUACCCCAUAAAACAGGGGUCCGCCAUGGGAAGUAAUUUGUUUUAAAGUAAAUUCUAUCGCUGAUAGAUAGGCGAUGCGUU